rnacentral:rRNA from 1 species
AGCUUGCUUCUCUUGAAGCGGCGGACGGGUGAGUAAUGCCUAGGAAUCUGCCUGGUAGUGGGGGAUAACGUUCGGAAACGGACGCUAAUACCGCAUACGUCCUACGGGAGAAAGCAGGGGACCUUCGGGCCUUGCGCUAUCAGAUGAGCCUAGGUCGGAUUAGCUAGUUGGUGGGGUAAUGGCUCACCAAGGCGACGAUCCGUAACUGGUCUGAGAGGAUGAUCAGUCACACUGGAACUGAGACACGGUCCAGACUCCUACGGGAGGCAGCAGUGGGGAAUAUUGGACAAUGGGCGAAAGCCUGAUCCACCCAUGCCGCGUGUGUGAAGAAGGUCUUCGGAUUGUAAAGCACUUUAAGUUGGGAGGAAGGGUUGUAGAUUAAUACUCUGCAAUUUUGACGUUACCGACAGAAUAAGCACCGGCUAACUCUGUGCCUGCUGC